rnacentral:rRNA from 1 species
GACGAACGCUGGCGGCGUGCCUAAUACAUGCAAGUAGAACGCACAGUUUAUACCGUAGCUUGCUACACCAUAAACUGUGAGUUGCGAACGGGUGAGUAACGCGUAGGUAACCUGCCUGGUAGCGGGGGAUAACUAUUGGAAACGAUAGCUAAUACCGCAUAAUAUUGAUUAUUGCAUGAUAAUUGAUUGAAAGAUGCUAUUGCAUCACUACCAGAUGGACCUGCGUUGUAUUAGCUAGUAGGUGAGGUAACGGCUCACCUAGGCGACGAUACAUAGCCGACCUGAGAGGGUGAUCGGCCACACUGGGACUGUGACCCGGCACAGACUCCUACGGGAGGCAGCAGUACGGAAUCUUCGGCAAUGGACGAAAGUCUGACCGAGCAACGCCGCGUGAGUGAAGAAGGUUUUCGGAUCGUAAAGCUCUGUUGUAAGAGAAGAACGGGUGUGAGAGUGGAAAGUUCACACUGUGACGGUAUCUUACCAGAAAGGGACGGCUAACUACGUG